UACGAAGGGAGCUAGCGUUGUUCGGAAUCACUGGGCGUAAAGCGCACGUAGGCGGAUUUGUUAGUCAGGGGUGAAAUCCCGGGGCUCAACCUCGGAACUGCCUUUGAUACUGCAAAUCUCGAGUCCGAUAGAGGUGGGUGGAAUUCCUAGUGUAGAGGUGAAAUUCGUAGAUAUUAGGAAGAACACCGGUGGCGAAGGCGGCCCACUGGAUCGGUACUGACGCUGAGGUGCGAAAGCGUGGGGAGCAAACAGG
rnacentral:rRNA from 1 species